UACGAAGGGGGCUAGCGUUGUUCGGAAUUACUGGGCGUAAAGCGCGCGUAGGCGGACUAUUAAGUCAGGGGUGAAAUCCCGGGGCUCAACCCCGGAACUGCCUUUGAUACUGGUAGUCUCGAGUCCGGAAGAGGUGAGUGGAAUUCCGAGUGUAGAGGUGAAAUUCGUAGAUAUUCGGAGGAACACCAGUGGCGAAGGCGGCUCACUGGUCCGGUACUGACGCUGAGGUGCGAAAGCGUGGGGAGCAAACAGG
rnacentral:rRNA from 1 species